rnacentral:snRNA from 1 species
GUGCUUGCUUCAGCAGCACAUGUACUAAAAUUGGAAUGAUACAAAGAACAUUAGCACAGCCCCUGCACAAGGAUGACAUGCAAAUUCAUGAAGCAUUCCAUAUUUUU